rnacentral:tRNA from 1 species
GGCUUUAAGGUGUAAUAACAUAUCUAAUUGCAAAUUAGAAGUUGUCCAAAGGACUAAAGCCU